rnacentral:piRNA from 1 species
UGGGAAGAGUCUCUCGAAGAAGCAGGUGGU